CUAAGCAUCAGAGCACAGUGAUACACUGAUCUGACCAAGUAAACAUGGAAAAACACCUGUUUCUGGUUUUAGUUCUGACUUCAGGUGUGAUGACUGCAGACCAGAUUGGGCCAAAUAAAGAAACUCUUAUCAUAAAGAAGGAAGACGAAACUGUGACUCUCAGCUGCUCAUACAAUACUAGCAGAAAUUAUGUUACACUGAACUGGUACAGACAGUAUCUUAAUGAAGAACCUCAGUAUUUAAAGUGGAAAGAUGCUCGUUUAUGGAGCGAUACUGGGAACCCCUCUGAUCCUCGCUUUCAGUCGACUACAUCUCAAACAUCCACUGAACUCAUGAUUAAAGGAGUAACUCUGUCAGAUUCAGCUCUCUAUUACUGUGCUCUGGAGCCCAGUGAUACAAAGUCUAUGUGAAGCUGUACAAAAACUCAAAUGUAUUUUUACUUUGAUGCCAAGCCACAUCAAACCCACA